UACGUAGGGGGCAAGCGUUGUCCGGAUUCAUUGGGCGUAAAGAGCGUGUAGGCGGCCAGGGUAGGUCGGUUUGUGAAAACUCGAGGCUUAACCUCGAGAUGUCAUCGGAAACUAUUUGGCUAGAGUCCGGAAGAGGAGAGUGGAAUUCCUGGUGUAGCGGUGAAAUGCGCAGAUAUCAGGAAGAACACCUAUGGCGAAAAGCAGCUCUCUGGGGACGGGUACUGACGAGACG
rnacentral:rRNA from 1 species